UAAUACGUAGGGUCCAAGCGUUGUCCGGAUUUACUGGGUGUAAAGGGUGCGCAGGCGGGCUUGUGCGUCUGGGGUUAAAGACUUCGGCUCAACCGAAGAAGUGCCUCGGAUACGGCAAGCCUUGAGUACGAGAGAGGAUGGUAGAAUUCCUGGUGUAGCGGUGAAAUGCGUAGAUAUCAGGAGGAAUACCGGUGGCGAAGGCGGCCAUCUGGCUCGUUACUGACGCUCAGGCACGAAAGCGUGGGGAGCAAACAGGAUUAGAUACCCUGGUAGUCCACGCCCUAAACGAUGUAUGCUUGGUGUUGGAUAUGUAUUAUUCAGUGCCGGAGAAAACUCGUUAAGCAUACCACCUGGGGAGUACGAUCGCAAGGUUG
rnacentral:rRNA from 1 species